CGUAGACGCUACGGACUUAAUUUUUGAGCCUUAGUAGAGAAAUCUACUAAGUGAUUGUUUUCACAUUCAGGGAAACCUAAGGUUUAAUAUAUGAGGUAAUCCUGAGCCAAAUUUUAGUUCUGAAAUAGGUGCAGAGACUCGAAGGAAACUAUCCUAACGAAAAAUUUUUUCUCUAUUUUUUAUUAAUUAUGAGUAUUGGUUAGGUACAUAAUACAAAAAUAUAUUCGAAAUAAUAAAAAUACUGGAAUACUAAAUAUAAAUAGUAGUUUUUAACUAACUUUUAAUAGACGAGGAUAAAGAUAGAGUCCUUUUUUAUAAUCUAUAUAAUUUUUAUUUAUAAAUAAUUGUAAAAAGAAAAUCCGUUGGCUUUAAUAGACCUUGAGGGUUCAAGUCCCUCUACCCCCA
rnacentral:tRNA from 1 species